rnacentral:rRNA from 1 species
UACGUAGGGUCCGAGCGUUGUCCGGAAUUAUUGGGCGUAAAGAGCUCGUAGGCGGUGUGUCGCGUCGGCCGUGAAAACCUGCAGCUUAACUGUGGGCUUGCGGUCGAUACGGGCAUCACUGGAGUUCGGCAGGGGAGACUGGAAUUCCCGGUGUAGCGGUGAAAUGCGCAGAUAUCGGGAGGAACACCGGUGGCGAAGGCGGGUCUCUGGGCCGAUACUGACGCUGAGGAGCGAAAGCGUGGGGAGCGAACAGG